CUCUGCUCUCCCUGAGGAUACAGUAGGGAAAGAGAGAAAAUAUGGAGUUGGGAAAUGAGAUAUGGAGCUGGACAUAGAGAUGGCAACUCCUGGGGAUUGUCUUGAUUAUAAUAAAAAGAGGAAGAGGGUAGAAACUGAAAGACAUGGUAGGAAUGCAUUCGAAAUCUCUUGAGAUUCUACUUUGUGAUAAGGACAACCAAUUGAGCAAACUCAGCAGGACGCAUGUAUGUACAUAUUGCAAGCAAGAAGAUUUGUGAUGGCUACUAGCGCUCUUGUGGGAGAGAGCGGUGUGCAUUGUUAGACCGAUGGCAUCGUUUGUUGACCUGUUGGACCGGUAUGCAAACUGCAUAGGGUCCAGUGUGGGGGGCACCGAGCAGCAGAUGAAUGAUUUGACUAGCCGCUCAAAGCACUUCAUGAUGACAGAGGGCGUCGUCAUCCAAGCCCCUCUUCGUCACCGACGAUGGCAACACCAUGACGAGAUCCUGGUUUGCGCAACGACUCUGCUCGACUGUGCUCGCUGUGGAUUGUCCCCGGAGCUAUACACAGCGCACUGCUUCUGGAUCGGGGCAGCUACCUGGGCAUCAUUCAAAGUGCCUACAGCUACCCUGAAAAUAAUGGGGCGGUGGUCUUCAUCGGCGUACGAGCACUAUAUACGCCAAAAUGCCUUCAUCGGAGCCCAGAGGUCUACGAGUUUGAUAUGAAUGGAGCGUUGGGGCCAUGUGGUCAAGUUCUAAGAGUAUUGUAUUAAUAAACGAGUUGCAUUACA